UACGAAGGGGGCUAGCGUUGUUCGGAAUCAUUGGGCGUAAAGCGCGUGUAGGCGGCCAGGUAAGUCCGUUCUGAAAGCCCGGGGCUCAACCCCGGGAGGCGGAUGGAUACUGCUUGGCUCGAGUCCGGAAGAGGCGAGUGGAAUUCCCGGUGUAGCGGUGAAAUGCGCAGAUAUCGGGAGGAACACCAAUGGCGAAGGCAGCUCGCUGGGACGGUACUGACGCUGAGACGCGAAAGCGUGGGGAGCAAACAGG
rnacentral:rRNA from 1 species